AGUGAACGCUGGCGGCGUGCUUAACACAUGCAAGUCGAACGAGAAACGGAUUUAGCUUGCUAAAUUGCAGUCUAAGUGGCGCACGGGUGAGUAAUGUAUAGGUAAUAUGCCUCUUACUAAGGGAUAACAAUUGGAAACGAUUGCUAAUACCUUAUAUGCCUUUAAUACGAAAGUAUGCAAGGGAAAGAUUUAUUGGUAAGAGAUUAGCCUGUAUGGUAUCAGCUUGUUGGUGAGGUAAUGUCUCACCAAGGCUAUGACGCCUAACUGGUUUGAGAGGAUGAUCAGUCACACUGGAACUGAGACACGGACCAGACUCCUACGGGAGGCAGCAGUGGGGAAUAUUGCACAAUGGACGAAAGUCUGAUGCAGCAACGCCGCGUGGAGGAUGACACAUUUCGGUGCGUAAACUCCUUUUAUAUAGGAAGAUAAUGACGGUACUAUAUGAAUAAGCACCGGCUAACUCCGUGCCAGCAGCCGCCGUAA
rnacentral:rRNA from 1 species